GGCAGCGCAGAGAAGGGAGGCUGAAGCAGAGUAAGACUCCGGACACUGAAGAAAUAAUUAUUGAGACUCGACCACCAGUUUCAAGGAACAGCAAAGUGCUCGAGAUGGCCAACAACUUCCAGAAGCUUCAGGUUGCCUAGCAGAAGUUUUGUCCAGGACGACUCUGGCCGCAGUGAUUAAAAUGAUAGCGAAAAGUCUUUUUACUAUUAAGCGUUGCAAACUACUUGUAUCUGUUGGUAAUUUUCAACCAGGCUAGGUUAUGCACUUGUGAUGUGACUUGUUAUCAUAAAUAUUUCUUUGAGGAUCUUUGUUUGUUUUGAUGUUUUGUAUCUUCUCCUUUUUAUCAUAAGUGUUUACCUACCAUAGCAGUUGCACUGAAUACAUUGAUAUUGGUUUUACACUUCAAUAAACAGUGAUUUUAUAGGAUGGUUACAGUUCUGAAAGUGGCUUGUGGAGUACUGUAAACUCGAAGACAAAAA